rnacentral:lncRNA from 1 species
AGCUAUCAGCUCCUCCUUGCUCAAGUUCUGCUUCUCCACCACCUGCAGCCCUCCAUCUUGUAGGAUCUUCUGGCAGCAGGGGUCCAGGCUGUCACUGAGGGAUGAGUCAUCUCCUUCCUAAUUGUGACUGACUGUGGACACAAGAGAAAAUCACCUGCUGUGCUUACAGGACCAUCAUGGGCAGCAUCUGCCCAAAUUGGAACACUGCUACAACUCUACAAAAUACCUCAGGUUACCUUUGGCCCUUUUGAUUCUAUCUUGAAUGACAGACCUGGUCCUGGGUUGGUCUGAUCCUCCCAGAUGACCACAGAGGGAUUCAGAUUCUAUCAGACUUAAGAGAAAAUAUGGAAAGCCAUGGUAUCUGCAUAGCCUUUUUGAAAAUGAUCUCUGGCACAUGGAAUGCAUUUUCCAAUGCAUUAUGGAAAACUAUGGAGGAGAUUGAGGAAUCAUCAGCCAAUGUCAUAGUUAUUUAUGGAGACAUUACUUCUGUACAAGACACCUUUUUGACCCAGCCAUGAGUGAGGAAGGCUACAAUAUAUACAGUGCUGUGUAUACUGUGGCCUAUAGUGUCCAUGAGAUGAAUCUUCAACAAAUACAGACUCAACCAUAUGCCAAUGGAGAACAAAUGGCAUUUUCCCCCUGGAAGCUUCACCCUUUCUUAAAGAACACAAUAAUGAAAAGUCAUGUGAGAGAACACACAGUAAUGCAUGGGGAAGAAACUUAGAUGCACAGUAUGACAUUCUUAAUUUUUGGAACUUUCCAAGUGGUCUUGGAUUAAAGGUGAAAGUAGGAACCUAUUCUCUAAGUGCGCAGAAUGGUCUACAGUUCUCUAUAUGUGAACAGAUGAUACAGUGGCCUACAGGGUUUACAAAGAUUCCUCAGUCUGUGUGCAGUGAGAGCUGUAGGCCUGGAUUCAGGAAAGCUGCCCAGGAAGGCAAGGCUGUCUGCUGCUUUGACUGUACUCCCUGUGCAGACAAUGAGAUUUCCAAUGAGACAGAUUCCUUACCACCUCCACUCUCACCCAGAUCUACUCAUUAUCUGUCUCUCAUUAGAACUGAACAUGUCUGUAUGAGGUAACAUAGAAUAAAAUAAAGUUUAGUUCCUUGGG